rnacentral:rRNA from 1 species
UACGUAGGGUGCAAGCGUUGUCCGGAAUUAUUGGGCGUAAAGAGCUCGUAGGCGGUUUGUUGCGUCGGCUGUGAAAUCCCGAGGCUCAACCUCGGGUCUGCAGUCGAUACGAGCAAACUAGAGUGUUGCAGGGGAGACUGGAAUUCCUGGUGUAGCGGUGAAAUGCGCAGUUAUCAGGAGGAACACCGGUGGCGAAGGCGGGUCUCUGGGCAACAACUGACGCUGAGGAGCGAAAGCGUGGGGAGCGAACAGG